AGGUCCUUGGGUCUGCUUGCGGUUUGUUACGAACACAAGCUUACCUUAAAUGAAUUAGCUGGACUUCAGCAGAGUUGUUAAGUAACAUUGAAAACUCUCGUAAUAUGAAGUCUGCUUUCUAAUCAGAUCUUAUAUUUUAUAUAAGAACUACAAUUUUCUAUUUUGGCCUCAAAUCAGGUAGGACUACCCGCUGAACUUAA
rnacentral:misc_RNA from 1 species